GCUGAGGGAGCGCACGGAGCCCAUGGGCCCUGCAGCAGAGCUGGGGACCGGGUUGUGGCCUUGCCUCCCGGCGAGACCCGCACGGGCCUCCCGGCGCUGUGGAGCACACGCGGCAGCGCGCACUUGGCGAGAACACCGCGCCCGACCUUCACCGAACUUCAUCCCUGCGGCCUUGCGCAGAUUGCACGCGGUGCUUUGCCGGUAGUGACACGGAGGAGUACGUUGCCAGGGCAACAGAGUGUAAGCAGGAGAAUAGCACCUUGCGAUCACAAAGACAAAUCGCAGAAGGAAAUUUCAUGCCCCUCCCUGGCUCAGCGCCCGGUGCCAACAGAACACCUUGCAGGAUCCUCAGCAGCGCAGACAACACUCCAAGAUGCCGGCCUCGGCUUGGAACAGAGUGGUGUCAUGGCGGAGAUGACGGCCUUUGUCUCACAGGGUGUGAAAGCAUCCGUUGUGCUGGCUCCAUUGCAGCAGAGUGAUGUUUAA
rnacentral:lncRNA from 14 species